GCCUGGUGCUGCUGGGCAAGCAGGCCAUCGAUGACGAUUGCAACCAGACCGGGCAGCUCCUCGCCGCCAUGUUGGACUGGCCGCAGGGCACGUUCGCCUCGCGGGUGCAGCUGGAGGACGGGGCCGUGCGCGUGGAGCGCGAGGUGGACGGCGGCCUGGAGACGCUGCGGCUGCGGCUGCCCGCCGUGCUGACGGCCGACCUGCGGCUCAACGAGCCCCGCUACGCCACGCUGCCCAACAUCA